CAGGAAGUAAUGUUGUUGUGUCAGACGAUAUAUUUUUCAUCAAAACCAAUGUUAUCGGAGCAUUGAUAUUGAUAUUAAUUAAGCAGUUAUUUAAUGACGAAUGUGUGAAGAGGAAUUCCAAGUGGUUUUUGUUGGUGAAUAUGGGCAUGGCUAGACUUUCGUUUUUCACGCGUGCAAGGACUCGAGUCUCAUGGACAUUGAAGGCACUUAUUUCACCUGAGACACGGACAGUAGACUUUGACAGAGUGAAUGUGGAGGUAGGCCUAGAAGUAAUAGACCGUGUGGGCUGGGUUUCUGUGAACGGGCAUAAUGCACCGGAUGACAUGGGUGUAUGAGGAAUUUUUGACUGUUGUUGAGUGUGCAGUAAUUGUUCAAGGAAUGUGUAUUUUUGUGUCCGGUCACAUACACCUGGAGAUUAUGAGGGACAUUACAAUCUGUCAUUUUUUGUACAAGAGCGUUGCAGACGCUAGUGUUCGUCAAUCGAGGCGAGGUAAGUUGCAAGCUAGUUGUGUAUUGAUUAUGACGUCACGGGAUAUGUAAGAUAACGUCACGUGAUAUGAAAGAUAGAAAUAUCUUACAUACCUUUCUUUCAUAGAAUAUCUGUAUCUUACAUACGUAAGAUAUGAGAGAAAUAAGAAAAAAUUACUAGUAUUUGGAAAGUAAAUAAAUGUAGGGUGGGAGAAAUUAACCAAAAAAUAUGAUUUCAUUUAUUAUUUAUCAACUUAUAGAGUAAGAAUUAAAUUAAAGAAGACAUAGUAUAAAUUGAUUUUAUUUUAGAUUAUAACAGGUCAAAGGUAAAAAGAGGCUAAAUUAUAACAGAGCCAAUCUUGAAAGGUCAUAUGAUGCAGUUACAGCAGAAGGAAUGUCUGUGUACAAGGCAUCGAAAAUAUUCUAUGUGCCAACGCAAACUCUCAGAGACAGAGCAGAAGGGAAAAUAACUCUCGAUUCAAAAGUAUGACAUGCUACAAUUUUCACACAUGGGGAAGAAGCAUUGGCACAACAUUGGUUCACAUGGCAGCAAUUGGCUAUAGAUACAUGAAAAUGAGCAUACAGCGUAUGGGUAAGGACUAUGUUCAUUCACUCACUAAACAUCUUCAAAUCAAGCAAGGAUGAAGUUCUGCCCAGUUAAGCACCAAUUGGUUUUUAUGAAAAGAUGGCCAAUGUUAAAGCUUGUGAAACCUCAGAAACUUUCAAUAGCAAGAGCAAAAAGUGCUUCACCAGAUGCAAUAAAGAGAUACUUUCAGAAA